UACAGAGGGCCCGAGCGUUGUUCGGAUUCACUGGGCGUAAAGGGUGCGUAGGCGGUUCUGAAAGUCUGCUGUGAAAUCUCCAGGCCCAACCUGGAAACGGCAUUAGAAACUACAGGGCUAGAGGCUUGGAGGGGGAACUGGAAUGCUCGGUGUAGCAGUGAAAUGCGUAGAGAUCGAGCGGAACACCAGUGGCGAAGGCGAGUUCCUGGACAAGUCCUGACGCUGAGGCACGAAAGCCAGGGGAGCAAACAGG
rnacentral:rRNA from 1 species